rnacentral:rRNA from 1 species
GAGUCGACUUGUUUGGGAAUGCAGGUCAAAAUGGGUGGUAAAUUUCAUCUAAAGCUAAAUAUUGGCCAGAGACCGAUAGCGCACAAGUAGAGUGAUCGAAAGAUGAAAAGCACUUUGAAAAGAGAGUUAAACAGUAUGUGAAAUUGUUGAAAGGGAAGCGCUGGCAACCAGACUCGUGCGCGGGGUUCCCCCUUGCUUCUGCUUGGGUCACUUCCCCGUGUCCGGGCCAUCAUCAGUUUCGGGGGCCGGUUAAAGGCCCUGGGAAUGUACCCACGCCUUCGGGGGUGGACUUAUAGCCCAGGGUGUCAUGCGGCCACCCGGGACUGAGGAACGCGCUUCGGCGAGGAUGAUGGCGUAAUGGUUGUCAGCGGCCCGUCUUGAAACACGGACCAAGGAGUCUAACAUCUAUGCGAGUGUUCGGGUGUCAAACCCUUGCGCGGAAUGAAAGUGAACGGAGGUAGGAAGGCUUAAGCCUGCACUAUCGACCGAUCCUGAUG